rnacentral:rRNA from 1 species
UACGUAGGGUGCGAGCGUUGUCCGGAAUUAUUGGGCGUAAAGAGCUCGUAGGCGGUCUGUCGCGUCGAUCGUGAAAACUUGGGGCUUAACCCUGAGCUUGCGGUCGAUACGGGCAUGACUGGAGUUCGGCAGGGGAGACUGGAAUUCCUGGUGUAGCGGUGAAAUGCGCAGAUAUCAGGAGGAACACCGGUGGCGAAGGCGGGUCUCUGGGCAUUAACUGACGCUGAGGCGCGAAAGCCAGGGGAGCGAACGGG